rnacentral:tRNA from 1 species
GGGGCUAUAGCUCAGUUGGCCAGAGCGUCUCGUUCGCAAUGAGAAGGUCAGGGGUUCGACUCCCCUUAGCUCCA